AAGUCGUAACAAGGUUUCCGUAGGUGAACCUGCGGAAGGAUCAUUAUCAAUAGAAAUCUUUCAAUAAACCCUCGAAAGAUCUUUUCCUUUGUGCUGUCUUUGACCGUAUGUAAUUUUGGGACUUUAAUAUGGUUUUCGUUGGUAAGACAACGGAGCCGGUCCCAAAGAACACAAAUAUCUCAUCCUACACGAUUCUGAACUUUUAAAGUGAUUUUAAUAAUCUGUUUAAAACAACUUUCAACAACGGAUCUCUUGGUUCUC
rnacentral:misc_RNA from 1 species